GAUGAAGAACGUAGCGAAAUGCGAUAAGUAAUGUGAAUUGCAGAAUUCAGUGAAUCAUCGAAUCUUUGAACGCACCUUGCGCCCUUUGGCCAUUCCGAAGGGCAUGCCUGUUUGAGUAUCAUGAACACCUCAACUCUUUAUGGUUUUCCAUGAUGAGCUUGGACUCUGGGGGUUUUGCUGGCUCACAGUCGGCUCCUCUAAAAUGAAUCAGCUUACCAGUGUUUGGUGGGUAUCAUGGGUGUGAUAACUAUCUACGCUUGUGGUUUUUCCACCAGGUAACCUUCAGCAGUGGAGGUUCGCUGGAGCUCAUAGAUGUCUCUCCUCAGUGAGGACAGCCCUUUGAAUGUUUGAUCUCAAAUCAGGUAGGACUACCCGCUGAACUUAAGCAUAUCAAUAAGCGGAGA
rnacentral:misc_RNA from 1 species